rnacentral:rRNA from 1 species
CCUACGGGAGGCAGCAGUGGGGAAUAUUGGACAAUGGGGGCGACCCUGAUCCAGCCAUGCCGCGUGUGUGAAGAAGGCCCUCGGGUUGUAAAGCACUUUCAGCGAGGAAGAACGCCUAGUGGUUAAUACCCGCUAGGAAAGACAUCACUCGCAGAAGAAGCACCGGCUAACUCCGUGCCAGCAGCCGCGGUAAUACGGAGGGUGCAAGCGUUAAUCGGAAUUACUGGGCGUAAAGCGCGCGUAGGUGGCUUGAUAAGCCGGUUGUGAAAGCCCCGGGCUCAACCUGGGAACGGCAUCCGGAACUGUCAAGCUAGAGUGCAGGAGAGGAAGGUAGAAUUCCCGGUGUAGCGGUGAAAUGCGUAGAGAUCGGGAGGAAUACCAGUGGCGAAGGCGGCCUUCUGGACUGACACUGACACUGAGGUGCGAAAGCGUGGGUAGCAAACAGGAUUAGAUACCCUGGUAGUCCACGCCGUAAACGAUGUCGACCAGCCGUUGGGUGCCUAGCGCACUUUGUGGCGAAGUUAACGCGAUAAGUCGACCGCCUGGGGAGUACGGCCGCAAGGUUAAAACUCAAAUGAAUUGACGGA